rnacentral:rRNA from 1 species
UGGGGAGCAAUCCCUGAGUAAAGUGGCGCACGGGUGAGUAACACGUGGGUCAUCCACCCUUUGGCGGGGAAUAACCCUGGGAAACUGGGGAUAAUACCGCAUAAGUCCGAGAGGAGAAAGUCACAAGACGCCGAAGGAGGAGCCCGCGCCCGAUUAGCUAGUUGGUGAGGUAAGAGCUCACCAAGGCGACGAUCGGUAGCCGGCCUGAGAGGGCACACGGCCACACUGGCACUGAAACACGGGCCAGACUCCUACGGGAGGCAGCAGUGGGGAAUCUUGCACAAUGGGGGAAACCCUGAUGCAGCGACGCCGCGUGAACGAUGAAGCCCUUCGGGGUGUAAAGUCCUUUCGGCAGGGACGAUAAUGACGGUACCUGCAGAAGCAGCUGCGGCUAACUACGUGCCAGCAGCCGCGGUAAUA